AAGGGGGAAUUUUCCGCAAUGGGCGAAAGCCUGACGGAGCAAUACCGCGUGAGGGAGGAAGGCUCUUGGGUUGUAAACCUCUUUUCUCAGGGAAUAAUAAGUUGAAGGUACCUGAGGAAUCAGCAUCGGCUAACUCCGUGCCAGCAGCCGCGGUAAUACGGAGGAUGCAAGCGUUAUCCGGAAUGAUUGGGCGUAAAGGGUCCGCAGGUGGUCGUACAAGUCUGCUGUCAAAGAAUCUGGCUUAACUAGAUAAAGGCAGUGGAAACUGUAAGACUAGAGUACAGAAGGGGUAGAGGGAAUUCCCAGUGUAGCGGUGAAAUGCGUAGGGAUUGGGAAGAACACCGGUGGCGAAAGCGCUCUGCUGGACUGUAUUUUUACCUUUGAUGGGAGGGGUUA
rnacentral:rRNA from 1 species